CCUACGGGAGGCAGCAGUGAGGAAUAUUGGUCAAUGGACGAGAGUCUGAACCAGCCAAGUAGCGUGAAGGAUGACUGCCCUAUGGGUUGUAAACUUCUUUUAUAUGGGAAUAAAAUGUUCCACGUGUGGGAUUUUGUAUGUCCCAUAUGAAUAAGGAUCGGCUAACUCCGUGCCAGCAGCCGCGGUAAUACGGAGGAUCCGAGCGUUAUCCGGAUUUAUUGGGUUUAAAGGGAGCGUAGGUGGGUUGUUAAGUCAGUUGUGAAAGUUUGCGGCUCAACCGUAAAAUUGCAGUUGAGACUGGCAGUCUUGAGUACAGUAGAGGUGGGCGGAAUUCGUGGUGUAGCGGUGAAAUGCUUAGAUAUCACGAAGAACUCCGAUUGCGAAGGCAGUUCACUGGACUGCAACUGACACUGAGGCUCGAAAGUGUGGGUAUCAAACAGGAUUAGAUACCCGGGUAGUC
rnacentral:rRNA from 1 species